CAGGGUCAGAAGCAAGGCUGGCCAUGGUGCUCAGGCACAAAUCCCUGUGACUGAGCAGCCUUGUUUCUAGAUCUGAGCCGCUCAUCUGCAUCUGUAACAUGCUGCCCCACACAGCCAGGUCUGGGGGGAUCCAUGGGAUCAGCUGUGGUGGGUUUGGGGACCCGUGUGUGCCUCACAGAGUGUGCUUUGAGGAGAAGGUGAGCUCCUCCUGUCCUGUGCUUGAGGAAGAUAAGAGCAACUACCCAAAGGCUGUGGCAUUUGGGAGGUGACAAGGUUCAGAGCCAAUGCUGAGGAGUCCUAAGGCAUCCCACCUCAGCACAGCUCUUUAUUGUCUGAAGAGCUGUGAGUCUUCAAUAGUUUUCAUCUGAGUGAUAAUUUACAGAUGUAAAUGUGAGGCAAUGUGUGAGUAAGCACUGUGAACAGUGUUGUUCUUGCUGUUUUCUCUGCAGAAACACUCAUGUCAAUCCUUAGAGCCUUUCUUCUGGACAGCCCUGUGAAGAGUUUCAUCAGUGGAGGGUGCCUGGUGCUCUUCCCAGUCGCCAUCCAAGAUGUUGGAGCCACGAGGGCCCUGGAGAGACGCAAAUUCCAAAGAAGAAACAUGUUUUUUGAGGAAGAAAAGCAAACCACAAUCAGCCCUUCAGAAACACCAUUUCCCUUUGAGCUACUGAAGGGUGUGUGAUGCUGUGGCAGACAAAUUGUGUAUUCCAAAAGCAGAGCCCGUCAUGUGACAAAGGAGCAGAUGUCUCUUGGAUGGCUUUCCUCCCUGUGUCACAGUAUCAUUAGGAUAGCUAUGUGCCAGCAACUGCACUUGGCUUUGUCUCCAUUUCAGGGGCGGAAAAGGCAUCAGAGGCUUUUUCCUAGGAAAAGACACACAAAAGAGCACCAAGCUUUGUGCAGGUGAAGCAGAAGGACAGAGCUAGACAGAUGUGUGCACACAUCCCAGAGAGCCACAGAUGUCAUCACACUUUAUUCUUCCCUCAGAAAAAAAAUGGGAGUAUCUGAAAAGCUGGGGAGGAAACCUGUAAUGGGGAGAUCAAAUAUACCUGCUGGUGUGAUUGUCAGGUAGGGGCUGUUCCAGUGAUAAUGUAGUUUGUGGGGGUCCAUGUAUCCAAAAAAAUGCCUUUUUUUUUUUCAUUUUUAACUAUGAAGUUGUUAUUAUCUGUUUUGUCUCUCCCCCGUUUUUCUGGAAGUCUCAGGUCUUUUGCUUGUUUGCUUUCACACACACUGAAACCUGUGCUCUGAAGCUGUCAGAAAACAUCCAUGGGAUGUGCCAUUCCCUCUCAGCUGUGCAGGGAUGCUGCAACCCCACAACAACAUGGAGAUGGAGAGGCUUCAGAAGGACAGGUGGAAGUCAGUGAUGGAUGCUCAUCAAAGGCUCUGAAGAUUUUAAUCAGGGUCCUUUUCCCUGACUGACAGCUAGAACAGCUCUUCUGUGACAUUUGGGGAGGAGGAUUUCAGUGCCUCUCCUCUGGAGCCUUCCCAAACAUCAUGACCCUGCCCAAAGCAACAGGUCACAGUGACUCACCUGUGAAGCCAUGGCAAGGUCUGGCCCCCUCAGCUAAGUGCUCUCCACCUUUUCCUUUUGCAGCACAGCUGAUGCCUUGUGAAGGCUGACCUAGAACAGAGGCUAGAUGGAGUUAAAGAAUAAAGUAGGUAUUUAUUAAAAGGCCUCAAUGGAUGUACCUGGGGCAGCACAAGAGCCCAACCAGGGCUACACCCAAGAUGAGCCAAAAUGGUCACAAAAUCCCUGACUGGACACAGGGUCUCUCACUUUGAUCAGUUCUGCUCCAUUUGCAAAUUGGAGUUAAUUGUCCAAUUACAACUUUAGGCCAUGAAUUCCCAUCCUUCUUGUCUUUCUCUCUUCAUUCCACGUUGUUUAUGCUCUUGGGCCUGGGAUUUGGAUCAUUUGUCCUUGGUCCCCAGCUAGAGAAGGAAUUGUUUUGUCUCCCUAUCCUGUGCAGAGAGCUCACCAUCCCCUAAUAUGAAGCCUAGACUGACACACUAAAGCAGCACAGAAUCUGAAAAAUAUAAAAGCUAAAACCUGAGGCAUCACAACCACAAGGCUGGAGCACAGGUGAGACAACCCUCAAGUGAGCAUUUGCUCUCUCUUGUCCCUUCUCCAGGUGUUCUGAGGACAAAGCUGCCCAGAUCCUGCCCCAGGCCGUCCCAUGCUGGCCUUUAGGAAGUGCAGGGACAAGUUCUGACUAUGCAGCAGGACUUUACCCCUUGAGGGUAAAUGACUGUGAUUUCCUGUUGGUCUGUAGGCAGUUGUCAUGUUUGUUUGGAGAUUAGUAGGGGCUGUGUGCUGGGCCUGAGCCGCAGCCCUGGUGGUAGGCACGGUGUGGGGACACAAGGCCAGGCAGGGCCUCUUAUGAGAAAACAGCAGAAACCUUGGCUUUUUCCUCCUAGCAGCCGAAGAUGGGUGGAAAAAGCUCUCCAUCAGGAUAUCAGGGAGUGCUUGUUCUGACUAAGGAGAGAGAGGAGCUACUUAGGCUAGAGGAAGGCAUUGAUAUACAGAAAGGGUGGGAAUAAAGUAGGAAUUAGAAGCAGGCUUCCAAUAAGUGGGCUAUUCCAGCCUGGGACUGCAUUUCCUGGUGAGGCGGCAGUAACAGGAACUGAAAUGCUUAUUGAGGGCUCAGCUCUUGGAUUUAUCCCACAGGCACAGCAGGAGGGCCCAGGUCACCCCAUUUGUCCUCAUGCUCUGGUUUGGCAGAGCUCGGGCACCAAGCCAGCCAUCUGCACAGCAGCACCGCCCCAGAGACACCUCCCAACGUGUGGGAGGAACAAACAUCCCAAAGAGAGAACACUAUUUUUGGGCCAUGGUCCUUCCAAGUCCUAGCAAAGCUAUGAAAAAUGCUACAAUUUUGGAGGAAGGCAGGAGAGGCCAUGCCAAAUCGGUGCAACUCCCACACGCAGGACAGCAUGAAGUCAAGGCAUGGCAAAGGCUGAAUGUUCCCAGCCCUGGGCCAGCCCCAAGUUCUAUGAAGCAAUAUUUUACUUGCAUUCUCAGAAGCAUCCAGAAUCAACCAGUUUGGCUAGCCCAACCUGGCUGCAUGCAGUCACAGAAGUGUGUUUUGUUUUAUACAACAGCAUUUCCAUGGACAUUCGGUGGUACUGGAGUCUGCUCAGGAGAGCAACAACAUUGAGGUAAUGUCCUUUUGGGCUGCCGUCAGCCGGUGUGGUUCAGCAAACACUGCCGAGAAACUUUCAGGGCUGAGCCUGCUUUGUGCCUGCACUGCCUGGCUUUUAAAAAACACUUUUCCUUGUUGCUGUAGCCAGGAACUCCAUGGUUUUUCUUCAGUGAAGUAAAUUGUGCUGUUGGCCUUUUAAGCUCUGUGUUGUUAAAAGUGAACUUUGCUGAACCUGGCAGGCAACAAGGUUAUUGUUUUCUCAGCGUGAGUGUUUCUAAACAAAUUGGCAUCACAGGCAUAAAGUUCUGGGCAGCUACCAGCCAAGAUCAAUUUGAGAGUCCCAAAGGUUGGGACAUAUUUCCAUUUCAACAGGUAAGAGCUGGAACAUCAUCAGAUAAAAGGCAAGGACUAUUCUCUUCUGGGCUUCAUGCAUCAGGUGGGGAACUCUUGGUGGCACCAUGACUCUCCCAGGCUCCCUGGGCAGCCCUGGCUCUGCAGUCAGACCCUGUGGGGGUACAAAGGAUGUUUGGGUACCUAGAGACAGGAUGGGAUCCUGUGUCUGCUGUCUCUAUUUCCUUCUCCUGUGUAAAUUUUCUGUAACCGUGUCACGUUACACUCGCCUGCAUGUUAGACCACUGCCUGGUUGCAUUUGUUAAUGUUUAGAGCAGCUUCACACCUGUGUGUGCUGCUGCAGUUUGUGUCUCCUGCAGGAUAUCUGUUGCUCUGCGUGGUUUAACACAGGCAUCUGCUUGCUGUCACCUGUGUGCCAUGGCCAUGCAGGGAGGGUGCUUGGGGUGAGUGACACGGCCAAGAGCAGCCUUGGAGAGAGGCUCUAACCCCUAGGAAGGUCAGGCUCUGCAUGUCUGCUUGCUAUGCAUGCUUUCUCCAUCACUGCAUGAAUUCCAGUGAAGAGUGUUCUGCCACUCUUUGUUUGUUUUUAAAUCACAAUGAUAUCUAGAUAACAUUAAAGGAAGGUGUUCUGUGACUUGCAAAGACACUUCUAAUAUUAAGUACUUUUUUUUCUUCUCAAAUGAAAAUAACUCCCGGGAGUCGCUGGUGCUUUGGUGAGGUGGGACCUCCAAGCACUCCAAAGGUGUGACAUGCCUUUGUCACCUCCAUUCACAGCUUCCCAGGCAAGGAAACAAAACCCAUCCUUUGUGGAUGAUCGCUGAUGGCCACGGCUCAAAGCUCCUCACUGCAGCUGCAGGAACCUUUCACACCUUCCAUCAAAGGCAAGGCAGUGCGACCUGAUUUGGCAUCUCAGAGAAGUCAGAGGUGCUGUGCAGGCUGUCCUUGAUGUCCCAGAGAAGUGCAUGCAUCACUGGGGACCACAGCAGCCCUGCCACCGUGCUCAUCCAUCCUCCCAUCCUCCCAGCCUAAGCAAGCACCCACACUCAGCCCUCCCUGGGCUGAGACCCACUUAAACACUGAGAUUGUUUCCUGGGCAGACCCAUCAAGAAAGGAAAUAUCAAAGCCACGUUUAUUUAUUUAUUUAUUUAUUUAUUUAUUUAUUUAUUUAUUUAUUUAUUUUGGUAAUUUGUCUGAUGGUGUGAGACUUGCUGAAGUGGCAUUUUAUUUCCUGGCUGUAGCAGUCCCGUGUUGUGUCUGGAUGCAGAUCCACACAGGAGGCAAGCAGCCCAGGAUGGCAGGGACAUGAAUCCUCAAUUUGGGGCUAAGCCUUGUGGUGUGUCAUUUUUCAGCUGGUUGUUUUAUCUCUCUGUGCUCUGGGAAGGGUAUCUUGACACAGACAGUUUGCAGAGCCAUUUCAGCUGUUCAGACAGCUCAGCCACAAUAUGUUGCCUCAAAUUGUUCUGUCAAGCACAUGCAUCAGCUGUAUUUGCUUGCCUUGAAGCUGUGAAAACCAGAGACCCUCCUGAGAAAAUUUAGCUUCUACAUAGAAAUAAAGAGGUUGACAAUGCUCUCAAAUGUACAAAUGCCACACAAGGCAGUGAGCUGCAAACCUGCCAUGGCCUGUGAAGCUCUUUAAAUUUCAGAUUAAAUCAUUAGCUGCUGCAGUCCCAAAGCCUUGACAUGGAGAAGCUGCAGCCAGAAGGGCUGUGUUGUCCUUCCAAGAUGCCUGCAGUGGCUAAAGGGUGGCUGCUGAGAUCCAUGGGGGCUCAGGGGUGCAGGAGCUGCUGCCAGAAAGGCAGGGACACACAGCAGGGCAUGGUCAGACCAGUUUGGGCUGAUGGGACCUUCCAGUGGGUGCUCAGUGGCACGAGCAUGGGGGAGGGCAGUGGCAGGGGCUGGUUUUGGCUGGCACAUGCCAUGGGGGACCCAGAUCUGGUCAGAGGAGCAGCACUGGGCUGUGGGCACGAGACACAAGGUGAGGUUACCCCUCGGUCACACCAGAGAUGAAUGAUGGAGCAAACCUGUGACACAUCUCUGCUUCGCAGGACAGAAAGAACAAGAC